GUUUUACUUUGUCUGUGGGCUUUCUGGUUGCAAGAGGAGCCCAGGGUCCCCCAGGAAGUUCUCCUGUGGAGGCCUUGGGAGUGAGACAAUGCAGACAGGAGGCAGGAGGAGCAAGGGCAUGCAGGUGGAAGGAGUGAGGACAAAGGGCGAGAGGAGUAAGCCGGGCACGAAACACUGGCAGGACUGGGAGAGCUAGAAGGGAAGGCUGACCAGUAACACCAGCCCCCCCGCCCCAACUCCCAUGGACUCGGGAGGAUUUGAAGACCAGUCCUCUCUAUUUUUAGAAGAAGGGCAACUGUCUGUCUCAGGUCUUCCCUGGUGGCUCAGCAAUAAAGAAUCUGCCUGCAAUGGAGGAGAGCCACCCAUGCUGCUUGCACGGAGAAGCCUGAUGUGAAGAACUGACUCAUUGGAAAAGGCCCUGAUGCUGGGAAAGAUUGAAGGCAGAAGGAGAAGGGGAUGACAGAGGAUGGAUGGCACCACCGACUCGAGGGACAUGAAUUUGAACAAGCUCUAGGAAUUGGUGAUGGACAGGGAAGCCUGGCGUGCUGCAGUCCAUGGGGUCACAAAGAGUCAGACAAGACUGAGUGACCGAACUGAACUGAUGUGGCUCGCAUGGUUCCCAACAUGAUCUUAGUUUCCCAACCAGGAAUUGAACCCAUACCCUUGGCAGUGAAAGAGUGGAGUCCUAACCUCUGGAUGGCCAGUGGUUAGUCCCUAGGAUGUGGACAUCUUUUAGGGGUUGGAAUAAAGACCAGAGUUUCUUGUCUCA
rnacentral:lncRNA from 1 species